CUACAGGGGCCUAACUACUCAAAGGCAUCAGAUCCCAUCUGAUCUUGGAAGCUAAAGCAAGAUCAGUUCUGCUUAAUACUUGAGUGGAAACCAUCAAUGAAUAUAAGGUGCUGUAUAAC
rnacentral:rRNA from 11 species